rnacentral:rRNA from 2 species
UAACAAGGAUUCCCCUAGUAACGGCGAGUGAAGCGGGAAGAGCUCAAAUUUAAAAUCUGGCCGGGUUACCGGUCCGAGUUGUAAUUUAAAGAAGUGUUUUCGGCGGCAACCUGGGUACAAGUCCUUUGGAACAGGGCAUCAUAGAGGGUGAGAAUCCCGUCCAUGACUCAGUGGAUGCUGCUAUGUGAUACACUUUCAAAGAGUCGAGUUGUUUGGGAUUGCAGCUCAAAAUGGGUGGUAAAUUUCAUCUAAAGCUAAAUACAGGCGAGAGACCGAUAGCGAACAAGUACCGUGAGGGAAAGAUGAAAAGAACUUUGAAAAGAGAGUUAAACAGUGCGUGAAAUUGUUGAAAGGGAAACGUUUGGCACCAGUCAUGCGUUCAGGAAAUCAGUCUAUCGAGGUGGGGAGCUGCAGAGGUUUGGACCGCAAGGCCAGCUUUUGUUGCAUUUCUGUCUGGAUGGAUGCACUUUUCUGUAUGCAGGUCAACAUCAGUUUUGUUCGCCGGACAAAACCUCAAGAGAAUGUGGCAGCUUUGGCUGUGUUAUAGCUCUGGGGCGAUACGGUGGGUGAGACUGAGGCUUUCAGUGUGUGCUUUCGGGCAAGGCUGACCGGGUGCUGCGGGCCAGUACGAGGUACAAUACAUGUAUUUUGCUUCGUGUCUGGUUUGCACUCGCUCGAAUCGGCUCUUCCACGCUUAGGAUGUUGACAUAAUGGU